CAAAUUGGCAUUACUUUUCCGGAAAAAAAAGAUGACGUUUCCGGAAAAAAAGUUUACGUUUCCGCAAAUAAAUAUCUUACUUUUCCGGAAAAAAAGUAACUAUUUCGGAAAAAAUAGAUUUUUGCUUUUCCGCAAAUAAUUGAGGAAUAUCUGUUGAUCGAAAGCAAAGCCAUAAUUAAUAUAAAAUAAAUAUUAAGUAAGUCAAAGGUCAUCAUAACAUGCAAGUAAAAUUCAUCAUUUAAAUCUAUGAAAACGUAUGUUCAAAAGUCAGCACUAAUCAGAAAUAUCUUGAUAUGAGUUCAUAAGUCAGUUCUGGCAGAAUAUUUGUAGCCAAAACGCCGCACAAAGUCCACAGUAGUACAUUCACCGUUUCCAAGUUUUGUAUUUUGUUCAAGGAGGAAGUCCAUCUUCUCCUUUUCACAUUUCCAAACGGGUGCUUUUAUAGUUAGAGUUCUCAUCUUUAUGUAAGAUGUUGUUUGCAGUUUCAAUAACACAUCGAUAAAAACAAAAAUGUUAGGAUGGCUAGCGUAAAACUGCUCGUUCAAGGGGGCAUGAAAAGACUCGGCACUAUUCGUGUUUUCGUAACAGCAGUAUGCAUUAUACAUUCAAAGUCAUUAUGAACUGCCUCGGGCUGGAGAGUUAUUCUUCGGGUAGUGCACAGAUCAAUAAGCCGAUCCAACAGUUUUGUGUUACAUUCCUCGGAUUUAAGUGGAAGUAACGCAAAUACAAG
rnacentral:lncRNA from 1 species